GACGAACGCUGGCGGCAUGCCUAACACAUGCAAGUCGAACGGAGAUUAUUUCGGUAAUCUUAGUGGCGAACGGGUGAGUAACGCGUAGGCAACCUGCCCUUUAGUUGGGGACAACAUCCCGAAAGGGGUGCUAACACCGAAUGUGAUCGUUUUCUCGCAUGAGAGAGCGAUGAAAGAUGGCCUCGCGUCUGAUUAGCUAGUUGGUGGGGUAACGGCCCACCAAGGCGACGAUCAGUAGCCGGUCUGAGAGGAUGAACGGCCACAUUGGGACUGAGAUACGGCCCAG
rnacentral:rRNA from 1 species